rnacentral:tRNA from 1 species
GGCGACGUGGCCGAGUGGCUAGGCACGGGUCUGCAAAACCCGCUACACCGGUUCAAUUCCGGUCGUCGCCUCCU